rnacentral:misc_RNA from 1 species
GAUGAAGAACGCAGCGAAAUGCGAUAAGUAAUGUGAAUUGCAGAAUUCAGUGAAUCAUCGAGUCUUUGAACGCACAUUGCGCCCCCUGGUAUUCCGGGGGGCAUGCCUGUCCGAGCGUCAUUGCCGCCCUCAAGCACGGCUUGUGUGUUGGGCCCCCGCCCCCCGGCUUCGGGGGGCGGGCCCGAAAGGCAGCGGCGGCACCGCGUCCGGUCCUCGAGCGUAUGGGGCUUCGUCACCCGCUCUGUAGGCCCGGCCCGCGCCCGCCGGCGACCCCAAUCAAUCUUUCCAGGUUGACCUCGGAUCAGGUAGGGAUACCCGCUGAACUUAAGCAUAUCAAUAAGCGGAGGA